rnacentral:rRNA from 1 species
GACGAACGCUGUCGGCGUGCUUAACACAUGCAAGUCGAACGGAAAGGCCCUGCUUUUGUGGGGUGCUCGAGUGGCGAACGGGUGAGCAACACGUGAGUAACCUGCCCUUGACUUUGGGAUAACUUCAGGAAACUGGGGCUAAUACCGGAUAGGAGCUCCUGCUGCAUGGUGGGGGUUGGAAAGUUUCGGCGGUUGGGGAUGGACUCGCGGCUUAUCAGCUUGUUGGUGGGGUAGUGGCUUACCAAGGCUUUGACGGGUAGCCGGCCUGAGAGGGUGACCGGCCACAUUGGGACUGAGAUACGGCCCAGACUCCUACGGGAGGCAGCAGUGGGGAAUAUUGCACAAUGGGCGGAAGCCUGAUGCAGCAACGCCGCGUGCGGGAUGACGGCCUUCGGGUUGUAAACCGCUUUCGCCUGUGACGAAGCGUGAGUGACGGUAAUGGGUAAAGAAGCACCGGCUAACUACGUGCCAGCAGCCGCGGUGAUACGUAGGGUGCGAGCGUUGUCCGGAUUUAUUGGGCGUAAAGGGCUCGUAGGUGGUUGAUCGCGUCGGAAGUGUAAUCUUGGGGCUUAACCCUGAGCGUGCUUUCGAUACGGGUUGACUUGAGGAAGGUAGGGGAGAAUGGAAUUCCUGGUGGAGCGGUGGAAUGCGCAGAUAUCAGGAGGAACACCAGUGGCGAAGGCGGUUCUCUGGGCCUUUCCUGACGCUGAGGAGCGAAAGCGUGGGGAGCGAACAGGCUUAGAUACCCUGGUAGUCCACGCUGUAAACGGUGGGUACUAGGUGUGGGGUCCAUUCCACGGGUUCCGUGCCGUAGCUAACGCUUUAAGUACCCCGCCUGGGGAGUACGGCCGCAAGGCUAAAACUCAAAGGAAUUGACGGGGCCCCGCACAAGCGGCGGAGCAUGCGGAUUAAUUCGAUGCAACGCGUAGAACCUUACCUGGGUUUGACAUGGAUCGGGAGUGCUCAGAGAUGGGUGUGCCUCUUUUGGGGUCGGUUCACAGGUGGUGCAUGCCUGUCGUCAGCUCGUGUCGUGAGAUGUUGGGUUAAGUCCCGCAACGAGCGCAACCCUUGUUCACUGUUGCCAGCACGUUAUGGUGGGGACUCAGUGGAGACCGCCGGGGUCAACUCGGAGGAAGGUGGGGAUGACGUCAAGUCAUCAUGCCCCUUAUGUCCAGGGCUUCACGCAUGCUACAAUGGCUGGUACAGAGAGUGGCGAGCCUGUGAGGGUGAGCGAAUCUCGGAAAGCCGGUCUCAGUUCGGAUUGGGGUCUGCAACUCGACCUCAUGAAGUCGGAGUCGCUAGUAAUCGCAGAUCAGCAACGCUGCGGUGAAUACGUUCCCGGG